AUGCACGCUGGCGGCGUGCCUAAUCCAUGCUAGUCGAGCGAACAGACGAGGAGCUUGCUCCUCUGACGUUAGCGGCGGACGGGUGAGUAACACGUGGAUAACCUACCUAUAAGACUGGGAUAACUUCGGGAAACCGGAGCUAAUACCGGAUAAUAUAUUGAACCGCAUGGUUCAAUAGUGAAAGACGGUUUUGCUGUCACUUAUAGAUGGAUCCGCGCCGCAUUAGCUAGUUGGUAAGGUAACGGCUUACCAAGGCAACGAUGCGUAGCCGACCUGAGAGGGUGAUCGGCCACACUGGAACUGAGACACGGUCCAGACUCCUACGGGAGGCAGCAGUAGGGAAUCUUCCGCAAUGGGCGAAAGCCUGACGGAGCAACGCCGCGUGAGUGAUGAAGGUCUUCGGAUCGUAAAACUCUGUUAUUAGGGAAGAACAAAUGUGUAAGUAACUAUGCACGUCUUGACGGUACCUAAUCAGAAAGCCACGGCUAACUACGUG
rnacentral:rRNA from 1 species